CAGUAGCCACGGUAAUACGGAGGGUGCAAGCGUUAUCCGGAUUUAUUGGGUUUAAAGGGUCCGUAGGCGGAUCUGUAAGUCAGUGGUGAAAUCUCACAGCUUAACUGUGAAACUGCCAUUGAUACUGCAGGUCUUGAGUAAAUUUGAAGUGGCUGGAAUAAGUAGUGUAGCGGUGAAAUGCAUAGAUAUUACUUAGAACACCAAUUGCGAAGGCAGGUCACUAAGAUUUAACUGACGCUGAUGGACGAAAGCGUGGGGAGCGAACAGGAUUAGAUACCCGGGUAGUCCCUGUCUCUUAUAC
rnacentral:rRNA from 1 species